rnacentral:rRNA from 1 species
AGUGAACGCUGGCGGCGUGCUUAACACAUGCAAGUCGAACGAGAACGGAAUAUAGCUUGCUAUAUUUGUCAGCUAAGUGGCGCACGGGUGAGUAAUGUAUAGAUAACCUGCCCUCUAGAAAGGAAUAACAGUUGGAAACGACUGCUAAUGCCCUAUAUGCCUUUAAUACAUAAGUAUGCAAGGGAAACGCUUUAGUGCUAGAGGAUGGGUCUGUAUGGUAUCAGUUAGUUGGUGAGGUAAUGGCUCACCAAGACUAUGACGCCUAACUGGUUUGAGAGGAUGAUCAGUCACACUGGAACUGAGACACGGUCCAGACUCCUACGGGAGGCAGCAGUGGGGAAUAUUGCACAAUGGACGAAAGUCUGAUGCAGCAACGCCGCGUGGAGGAUGACACAUUUCGGUGCGUAAACUCCUUUUAUAUGAGAAGAUAAUGACGGUAUUAUAUGAAUAAGCACCGGCUAACUCCGUGCCAGCCGCCGCCGUAA